ACGAACGCUGGCGGCGCGCUUAAUACAUGCAAGUCGAGCGAGAACCAGGACUUCGGUCCUGGGGAGAGCGGCGAACGGGUGCGUAACACGUGAGCAACCUGCCCCGAAGACCGGGACAACCCGAGGAAACCCGGGCUAAUACCGGAUGCCCUCGCCGGAUCGCAUGAUCUGGUGAGGAAAUGGAUUCCGCUUCGGGAUGGGCUCGCGGUCUAUCAGCUUGUUGGUGGGGUAACGGCUCACCAAGGCGACGACGGAUAGCUGGUCUGAGAGGACGAUCAGCCACACUGGGACUGAGACACGGCCCAGACUCCUACGGGAGGCAGCAGUAGGGAAUCUUGCGCAAUGGGGGAAACCCUGACGCAGCGACGCCGCGUGCGGGAUGAAGGUCUUCGGAUUGUAAACCGCUUUCAGCAGGGACGAAAUUGACGGUACCUGCAGAAGAAGGCCCGGCCAACUACGU
rnacentral:rRNA from 1 species